rnacentral:rRNA from 1 species
CCUACGGGAGGCAGCAGUGGGGAAUAUUGCACAAUGGGCGCAAGCCUGAUGCAGCCAUGCCGCGUGUAUGAAGAAGGCCUUCGGGUUGUAAAGUACUUUCAGCGGGGAGGAAGGUGUUGUGGUUAAUAACCACAGCAAUUGACGUUACCCGCAGAAGAAGCACCGGCCAACUCCGUGCCAGCAGCCGCGGUAAU